rnacentral:lncRNA from 1 species
CUUCUCACAUCAGCGGGUCCAGGCCCAACCGACAGACUAUGGGGGCUCCGGCAACCAGGCGGUGCUGCCGCGCGAGCUCUACCCAGUCGAGUUUAGAAACCUGCUGAAGUGGUAUGCUAAGGAGUUCAAAGACCCACUGCUACAGGAGCCCCCAGCCUGGUUUAAGUCCUUUCUGUUUUGCGAGCUUGUGUUUCAGCUGCCUUUCUUUCCCAUUGCAACGUAUGCCUUCCUCAAAGGAAGCUGCAAGUGGAUUCGAACUCCUGCAAUCAUCUACUCUGUUCACACCAUGACAACCUUAAUUCCGAUACUCUCCACAUUUCUGUUUGAGGAUUUCUCCAAAGCCAGUGGUUUCAAGGGACAAAGACCUGAGACUUUGCAUGAACGGUUAACCCUUGUGUCUGUCUAUGCCCCCUACUUACUCAUCCCAUUCAUACUUUUAAUUUUCAUGUUGCGGAGCCCCUACUACAAGUAUGAAGAGAAAAGAAAAAAAAAAUGAAGGAAACAACCACUGGCCCAGGGUAGAGAUGCCUACAGGGUGGUUGCUUGUUGGAUACAAUACAAGGAACACUGCUCAGAAC